rnacentral:lncRNA from 1 species
AUGCUGGUACUAAGACAAAAAGAUUGCCUGCAACUACGACUCCCUUACCAGGGAGCGGUGGGAGUCUUGCCUGAACGGUCACGCUCCAGAGGACUACCACUGAACACGUGCAACACAACGUACCCCAGAAACAAAAACACAGGUGGUCAAAACAGAGUAAGACAGCGUAGUUUAAAAAACCACCAACCAACCAACCAACCAAAAAACAGACGAACAACAACAACCCCGCUGAUGUUUACUGAGUCCAUGAAACAGCCUAACACGAGCUUUCAGGGGGAUGGAGUGGCAAAACUGUCAAGUUGGCUCUUGGAGGGACACAGAAACUACUUGAACACCCGAGCAGGGCACCUGCCAGCCCAGCCCGGUGACAGCCCCGCAGGCUGCAGCCCGCACAGGCACGGGGCACCUCGGCACCGGCACCGGGGCACCGGGCGCUGCCGCUGCUCGGAGCCCUCCAGCCUGCGCCAGGACGCGCUGGUGCUCACCUCCGGGCGGGCGCAGGCUGCGCUCACCUGCGUGCAGACCUCACCCGUGCAGCCGGCCUGCCGCGGCCACCCCCCGCUCCUUCCUACCGGCUCCCGGGGGCACGCAGCGGCCCGGCCCCGCCGGGCUCCCCGCUACCGCCGGGCGCAGCGCUCACCUCCCCCGCCGCAGCUCCGCCACCACCGCCCGGCCCCGCCGCGCCGCCGUUCUGCCGUCACUUCCUCGGCCGCCUGCGCCUGCGCCGUGGUUUUGGGGCGCUGCUGUAGGAGGAGGCGUCCUUCAUCUUCCUCGUGGCCUCCCAUUUUCUCCCUGGCUCUCUGGCAGUGUCAAAAGCAGAAAAUAAGAGCCUUCUGGGAGGCUCGUUGGGCUUUCUGUCCGUUCUUUCCCCGUCCUUCAGACGCCCCACUGCAGUGCCAUGAAGGUCCUGCACCAGCUCCUCCUCUUUUGGCCGGCAGAACCGAUUUAUUUAUUCAUAUAUAUAUUUAUUUUGCUCUCGGCCUUGAGCCAACUGAGAAAGGACAAAUACGUAGUAGAUCUGGAUAUUUAUUUGUUCACUUUUGUAGAAACAUACUGAAGCAGUUAGAGCUGAACUCAGCUUCAGGGAACAAUUUGCCAUUCAGAUUCACCACAGAGUUCCUUUCUUCACCUGCCUGUUAG